rnacentral:sRNA from 1 species
GUUUCUAAAACAACCCCAAUCUACUUGAACAAAAGUUAGUAAAGUUUGGACGGAUAUUUCAAGCUCGAUGGAACGCUCCUUUUUCUACGUGUUCCUUUUUUCCUAACUUUCUACAAAGUUUUCUCAUAUUCUUUUACUUGUGAGUUUGAUAGGCAUUUACCUUAAUGUACAUAUUAUUAUCGUCUAUCAUGUAUUAAUUGCUCGCGUAAACUUUGGUUUGUUGUUUCAGUGGAUCAGAAUGAGUUGAAUGGCAUUUGAAGGAUGAUCAUUAUAUAAAUAUAGAUAUAUAUACUUAUGUAUGUGCUUUCAACAACUAUUUGUGCAUGUAUUGAACCGACUUUGUAUGGUCGUUUUUGAAGUGUUUUAGUUUUAAAUUCUUGCUUUUAGUCAUUGUGGAGAUAUAAGAUUUGCAUUUUUGUGUUUGACAA